GUGCUCGCUUCGGUAGCACAUACACUAAAAUUGGAAUGACACAGAGAAGACUAGCAUGGCCACUGCACAAGGGUGACGCGCAAAUUCGCGAAGCAUUCCAUAUUUAA
ensembl:snRNA U6 U6 spliceosomal RNA